GUAAUUCUAUGUAAAAUAUAAAAGUACGCGUACGGAAAGUUAAAUAAUUUUUCAUAAUUUAAUAAAAAUUCACAGAUGGCCACAAUGUGAAACUAUGAAACUGCGUCAUUUUGUAUGUUCUUUUUUGAAAUUCGAAUGCAGUCGAUAAUAAUUACCGACGUAGUGCAAUUGACGGUUGAUCUAAUCGUAAAACCUAAACGUUUGAAAUAUCGAACUCCUGGUGUAUCUUGGAUUAAUAAUUCAUUAAUAUGGUCGGGAUAGCAGAAAAGAAGUGUCACACAAAUUAGCAGAUACGUUAUUACUAAGCUUGAACUUUGCCAAGGUAAUCAAAAUUCAGAAAAAAUUAAAUUCGCAGAAAUCAUGGUCGAACGUUAAUUGAUGGCGUAACAACGUUGAGAAUCAGAAUAAAGGAAUCAAGAGCAAGAAAACUGCCUCGACCAGUUCUUCGGGGAAGCCUUGACCGUUCACUCUACCUGUCAUCCGGUUAGAAAACGCUUCAAUUCGCACUACGUAACGCAGAUGGAAUCCACGACUCGCAAUGCGUGAAGACAUCAGUCAGGAACAUCGUUGUCCUGUCCCGUUCCAGCAGGAGUUAUAUAGGCGGAUGCACGGAUGCUGGAAACGACGGAAGAAGAACAUAAUUCUAAACAAAGACAACAGCAAAAUGACCUGUUGCCAUCAAACAUGUUACAUAAAAUUGAAAUAGAUUCAUGAUCCCCUUGUCCCUUAACUACUGCCGAAGGACGUUCGCUAAGGUAAUGGAUUUCGAAUUGGCAUCUACAUUUGCUGGGAAGAGAAAAAAAAAAAAUUCGGAUCUCCCGUUUCGGGACCUCUCAAGCUUGCGUAAAUGGAAUUCCCCUGACUUAAUCGAAAUGCAAAUCGUUCUUGAGAUUUUAACUACUCACAGUACGUUAUAUAAAUAAGGAUAAAGUCAUUCAGUAAACGAAGAUGGAGGCAGAAGACGCUUAAAUUUAAAGAAGAGUUUGUUGAGUUUGAAAUGCAUUUAUCUCGAUUUCCUGUUUCUUUGCUCGUUCUUCCAGCAUCCCAGUGUCCCUGCAAUUUACAUUCAUCCUUGAUGCAAGGAGGUCGAAUAAUUAGCAAGGUUCGUUAAGCUCAGCUCGUGCAAAAGACCAGAGG